GACGGGACCCGCACAAGCGGUGGAUGAUGUGGAUUAAUUCGAUGCAACGCGAAAACCUUACCUACCCUUGACAUGUCCGGAAUCCCGAAGAGAUUUGGGAGUGCUCGCAAGAGAACCGGAACACAGGUGCUGCAUGGCUGUCGUCAGCUCGUGUCGUGAGAUGUUGGGUUAAGUCUCGCAACGAGCGCAACCCUUGUCAUUAGUUGCCAUCAUUUGGUUGGGCACUCUAAUGAGACUGCCGGUGACAAACCGGAGGAAGGUGGGGAUGACGUCAAGUCCUCAUGGCCCUUAUGGGUAGGGCUUCACACGUCAUACAAUGGUCGGUACAGAGGGUUGCCAACCCGCGAGGGGGAGCUAAUCCCACAAAGCCGAUCGUAGUCCGGAUCGCAGUCUGCAACUCGACUGCGUGAAGUCGGAAUCGCUAGUAAUCGUGGAUCAGCAUGUCACGGUGAAUACGUUCCCGGGUCUU
rnacentral:rRNA from 1 species